UUCCAUGAAGAAAUCAAAGUUGAACCUCCUCUGAUACAGCUUGAUUCCUUUUGCUCUCAUUCUGCCACUGGUUGCCUGGGAGAAGAGGCCAACCCCCACUUGGCCCCAGUCUCAUCUCAGGUAGUUGCAGAGAGCAAUAACAUCUCUCCUGAACAUCCUUUUUUUCCAGGCUGAACACCCCCAGCUCUCUCAGAUUCUCAGCUCAUAACCAUGUGUGGAGCUGCUUCAUUUCAUUCCAUAAUCCAAGGAGGCACAACACACCUGUACAUUCCUGUAUUUCUUGCAGUCUAAGAUAUCCCUUUGAUCCACAAAGUAGAUUUGGACAUCAGAUAUACAGUCAGCAUGUGGGACAAUUUUCCUACAAACUGGCCACAUUCACAGUCAUGACUAGUCUGUUGGAUCUCCAGAGAUCAAAAUGAAAUAUAUCCAAAGUCUGCAUUGUUUUUCUACGCCCUAGACUGCAAGCAAAGUAGUCUUUGAGCCAAACUUCCUUAAAGUUGACAGGACACCAGACUUGAGUCAUCUGGGCACCAGACUGGAUCCAACUCCAGUAGCUGGAGAUGAAGACAAAUCUUUUUAAUUUAUCAUAGGAGAGAUUAAAAGGUGCUGAUCAAAGUCUAAGCACUACUGUCUUUGUCUGGGCUACCAUGAUUAUUUCAGUUAAGCUGCCACUCACUGGCACCUCAAUAUAACUUCUUUUUUGAUUCUCUCCAAAUAUGAAACACAAAUAAGCAGAACUUGUACAAGGUGACAGGGGUUUGUUUUGUUUUAUAUUGCGUUUCAUAUUUUUUUAAAGAAUAAUAAUCAAGAGAGUGGAGUCUGUAUUUCUUACAGUCAAUGCACAGGGUCUUCUGUUUUUGCUCCAGUGCCCUGGUUUUGUCCAUGCCCUUGCUUGGCAGGAGGGAGCAGCUCUCCUCUUAGAGCAGUGAGGAGGCUUGGCUGGCUCAAAGAGAAACCACUACGGUCUAGGCUGGGACACGACCAUCUGCAAACCCUCACUGCCCUCCUGGCUGGAGGCAGCAGUGGCAGGGAGAAGGUCUAUAGGGUGGAAAGGGAGGAGAAACCCUUUAGCCAUCCAAACAACCAGCAGCAAGGGCUACAGGAAUGCAUAUCACACCUUUGCUGGCUAUGGCUAUUAUUCAAGUGGUUUGAACAGAUGGAUGACAAACACCAUGAAGUAAAGAGCACAGAGCAGAACAGCCAAAUGCUGUCUGAGGUACACAUUCCUGCAGGAGACAGGCAGCCCAAGCCUGCAGUCCCUCUUAGGACUCCCACAGGACCAUGAAGCCAGACCAAAGGAAGGACAGGCUGUUCUAGAAGAUUUCUAUAUACCAGGUUUAAAAUGGAGAAGCAGAUGUAGCUGAGCUUUGGGUAUGAAGGCUUGAGCUUUCCACAAUCCUCUGUACUCUCAUAGCAAUUUCCAGUGCUCCAAGUUAUCGCACAUCAAAAAGAAAAGCAGGUGCAACAAUUCGACAGCCAGGCCACAGCUAGAAUGAAGCCCCAAAGAGGGAAGAGCUGGACCAGCAUCUUCAUGAGGAGUGGCCUUGAAAGUGAAAAUAUUUAAUCCUCCUAAUUUUUAAACUAGUUUCUCUCAGGUUUUUUAACCAUUUUACUAGCUUCAGAGAUUUCUUCAAUUUCAAGGUUAAGAGGUUAGCAAGAUUUGCUCCAGCUGUCUUUUUAUUUUUUUUUUUUAAUAAUACAGGAGUGUGACAUGAGAAACUGAGCACAAAUUUUCUAUAAUUAAGACAGGAAACCUCCUGAAACUAGUCAAGUUUCAAAAGCAAAUAUAUAUUUAAGCACAAUCACAGUAUUCCAGGAAAAUUUUAAAAGCUUUAAUCAUGAGGAGAGGGUAAAGGCACUUUUAUUUCAGGCAUAGUUCAAGCAUCAUCCAUCUUCCUUCCCUUCCAUAAAGUCAAACGUUCUCAAGUUACAAGUUUUGAAAGAUUUUUCCAAGUCUCCAUUUUCCUUGGAGCUUAAUGCUGUCUUUAAUCAAGGCUUCCUUGGGGAGCUCUACAGCCUAUUCUACAGUCCUUGUAAUCAGCAUUAUUUCUAGUUAGUCACUUUUCCAGCUUCAGUAGUAGAAAUCAAGAAUCAUUUUCAAAUUUAUGAUUGCAUCAAAAAUAGAAUUUAAUUUAAAAUUAUUUAAUUUUUCACGUUAACUCAGCUGAAUUUUCCUAGCAAAUACGGUAACCAAAGUUCCGCUACUAAGACUCUUUCUAGGAGGAAUGCGCUUCCUUUGCUGCAGAGAAUUCUGGACAAUAUUUUUUUUAAAGUCAAA